GCGCACGUAACUAAAAGAAGAAAAGGAACCGUUCCAUUCGCGAGCGCCAUUGACUGUGGAAGACUCAAGCUCGCAUCGAAGUAGCCUUCAUUCAUAUGGAGCAUAUGAACGUCUGCGAAAGAUUGUUUGUGGAGCGAGUGGGGAAAAAAGGGUUUUUUACGAAGCUGUGUCUAACAACAAGCAGCGCAAAAGAAGCUCCAUCCAACAAAUAUGAUCUCUGGAAAACAAAUUCACCUCGGACGGGCGAAGCUUGUUACCAAAUAUUUCAAGGCCCUGCAAUCUAGUCAGAAACAAUUGUCAAUGAAGUUAUCCUCUGUGAGGCCAACGGCUAUCACCUAUGCCUUUUAAGAUGUGACGAGUAUUCCAUCGAACAAGGGUUCAUACGGGCAUUCCACUGAUUCAUUUACUCAGGAAGUACAGUGGAAAAAGCGUUUGGGUACAUUUACAGGACGCAAAUCUUUGAGCAGCGAUAUUCUUCAAGUGGGAACAGCCAGAGAUCACAG